UACGUAGGGUGCGAGCGUUAAUCGGAAUUACUGGGCGUAAAGCGUGCGCAGGCGGUUUGCCGAGUCCGAUGUGAAAGCCCCGGGCUUAACCUGGGAAUGGCAUUGGAAACUGGCUGGCUGGAGUGUGGCAGAGGGGGGUGGAAUUCCACGUGUAGCAGUGAAAUGCGUAGAGAUGUGGAGGAACACCGAUGGCGAAGGCAGCCCCCUGGGCCAACACUGACGCUCAGGCACGAAAGCGUGGGGAGCAAACAGG
rnacentral:rRNA from 1 species